ACUGACUUUUCCUAAAGCGUCCGAUUUUAGGCUACAGUAUAUGCACGUUCAAAAGCCAACAGUUUAUUUUUACGUGUAUGAUGCAUGUGUCCUUAUGAAAACAAGUGAAUUAGUUGUCCGUAAUGUGCAUGAAGAUCCCAAUCUGUCAACGUUGUCGAAAUGAUUUAAGAUACAAAAAAAACAAUGUCCCGAAUAACUGCUGCAAUGCAUUCACCAUAGCAGCCACGUCUACAUAUCAAUUUAUCUGGCACACGUGAUGACACAACUCUACAUGAAGCGACGUGGAUCUCGAAAAAGACACAAGCCCUUGGACCACACCUCAGGACUACAGUACCAGGCCCUAAUGACCCGUAGAUGUACCUGUCCAAAGUCCUCCGAGAUGUUCUGCAGAUGAAGUUGCUGCCUGAUGAUUCCUGCAGCCACAGCCCGCACCCCACCUGACCGUCCCUGUCCUGGUCCACCUGGUUCUGAGGCUGACUUGGAUUCUAUUUAAGGACUCUGGACACGGCCCAGAUGCAUUUAAUGACCUGUUUCAGGCCGGGUUUCUGUAAUAGGACUGUGUGACAACUGCUGCUGUGAAAAGGGCUUUGUAAAAUAAAUGUGACUGAUUAAUA